rnacentral:misc_RNA from 1 species
CACUGGUUCUCUAUGGUCCCUGUAAACAACGACGGACAACCAUGGCUACGCGGAGGAGGACUUACUCGUCCGGGUCUGAUGCUUCUGACCGAUUUAUAUCUAUUAAUGAGCGACCUGUUGAUGACAUAUCUCUGGAUGUCUUCUAUAAACCUCAUAGUAUAACUUUACUAAUAGUUAUAAUCUCCGGCUUGAUUUACUUCGCGUUCACCAGGGAUGAAAAUGAGAGUAUCCAGUCAAACAUACAGUAUGGGUUGGGUGCGAUGGUCUUCUUUUUCGUCAUCAUUAGCGUCAUGGCAUUCCCAAAUGGCCCUUUUACUCGACCGCACCCAGCUAUCUGGCGCAUUGUAUUUGGGCUCUCAAUAUUAUACAUGCUGUUACUGCUCUUCAUUAUCUUCCAGGACUACAGGACUGUACGUAGCAUGUUUGAAUGGUUCUUCCCAGAACUGAAAAACUUCACCAUUGAUAUGGAUAAGGGUAAAUGGGGAGAGAAAUGUGAUGAUCUUACCUUUGCGCGACUGUGGGAGACCAUCGAUUUUUUCUGCUUUGCCCACUUCACAGGUUGGGUCAUGAAGACCUUGCUCGUGCGUCACUAUGGCAUCUUGUGGACUAUCUCUGUCAUGUGGGAGAUAACAGAAAUUGCAUUCUCACAUCUCCUUCCGAACUUCAUUGAGUGUUGGUGGGAUGCUGUCAUUUUAGACGUUCUUCUGUGUAAUGGUUUUGGGAUAUGGGUUGGCAUGCAAGUGUGCCAUUUGAUGGAGAUGCGUUACUACAAUUGGGAGAGUAUCAAGGACAUCCAGACCACAACUGGUAAGCUGAAGCGUGCUGUUCUUCAGUUCACUCCAGAAUCAUGGACAGCCAUGAGGUGGUUAGAUCCUGCUUGCAGCUACAUGCGCUUUCUGGCCGUGUCUCAACUUGUCGUCUUCUGGCAACUCUCUGAGCUUAACACCUUUUUUCUUAAGCACAUCUUUCAGAUGCCUCCCAGCCAUCCACUUGUCUUCAUGAGGAUCUUUUUGAUGGGAGCCUCGUCUGCCCCAACGAUAAGGCAGUACUACAGCUAUGUGACAGACCCCAGAUGUAAGCGUGUGGGAACACAGUGCUGGGUGUAUGGGCUGUGCAUGUGCAUUGAAUCUCUUAUCUGCAUCAAGUUUGGAGCAGACAUAUUUCAACACACUCUUGUCCGUAAUAUCAUCGCUUGGGUGUUGAUUCAAGCUGCAGGGUCAGUAGUGUGUGUGUACCUGUGUGUUACACAUCACAGGUGGCAACGUAAGCGCCAGAUCAAACUGGAGGAUUCUUGGGAUGAAGACACAGAAACAGACACUAUGGUGUCUUCAUAUAUUCAAUCUCUUCCCCGCAAGACUGUGACGCUUAGCACUCCAGAGGAUGAGGACAGUGACGAUGAAGACGAGUGGCCGCCAGUGACACAGCGCAGAGUGUUCCAUACCCGACUCAGGCGAAGUAACAGAUUAGACCAAUAACUUUAUAACGAGUGAAAACCUCUGCUUCCAGUGAUGUUGACAAGUGUACAAGUGGCCCUCAACAUUUGGACUUACUCCCAUUUUUGUGAUGCCCUAUGGAAGCUCAUAGCAGAAUAGAGACCAGAGGCUGACACACUGUUGAGUGGCUGAUGCACUGUUUCUACGUGUUCACUUUUGUUAAUACUGUACUGUACUAAUAGUAAUUUUUCAUUUUCUACUUGUAAUUUAAUUUAUUUUUAUAUUAGAACACAAAAAGUUUUAUUAUAAUGGACAGGUAUAGUACAUGUAUAUCUUUAGUUAUUUAAAGGUUUUGCAUCUUUAUAUACAGUAUAAUGAUUUCUUAAAAGUCUACCUAGGAGUCACCUUGCCAUGCUUGAGCUUUAAACUGUGAAUAUCUAAACUUCCACCACAGAUGUUAAUGUUGAAUACAUUUUAUGUCGCCGUGAAUGGUUGAAUGGUGAACUUCAAGCCCAUGAAUGGUGAGGGCCACCUAUAUUAUUAUUAAUAUUAUUAUUAUUAUUAUUAUUAUUAUUAUUAUUAUUAUUAUUAUUAUUAUUAUAUAUGUAUUGUAAUUUCUAUCUUUAAUACGUCAGUACAGCAUUCAUAAAAUGUGACAUAUUUUACCCCAAAAGAAAAUGGUAUCUGCAUACUGAACAUGACAAAUGAUUGUAUGGUAAUUGAAAAUUUAUAUCAUUGAAAUGUUAAGCCUAUUUAUUUUACAUAAAGAGGCUGUAAUGUACUAGAUACUGUGGAGGCAUUCUCUUGUGCCAUGUACAGCAAAAGACAGGGAAAGGUUGAUGAAUUGUAUUUUAAAAGUUGGUAAUUUUUUCUUCUUCUAUGAAUCUCCCUUUGAUCUGAGCUGUUGUUAACCCAUGUUGUAGAACCCUGUUGAGUUACACUGGGAGGCAGAAUAAAAGUUACUGCUCUUACCUAAUUUGUCUUGUUGAGCCAUAUAAGGUAUGGUUUUAAGGAAGUUAUGUUACAAUGGGAGGCAUUGUUAAAAUCACUCCACUUACUUGACUUGUUGAGUCUUACAGAUUAUGACCUUAAGCAACGUGCAAAGUUUACGUCUUUACAGAUAUCUUUGUCAAUGUCAGAAUGUUUUUAUUGGGUGAACAUUUGCAAUUUCCUCAUUUAAGUAAAUGGGAGUUCAUGGUCAUGGAAGUUGAGUUUAUUAUUUUAUACACUUGAUACCAUAGCAAUAAAAGUUCUUUUGCUUUGAUAAGUUUAAAAAGUCCAUUUUAUUGAUUUGUAUAUAUUAGUAUAGUUAUAACAUUGCUGGAGGAAGUACUGUACCUUCAGGAAGAUAUUUUGGAUCAGCAGGAACAUGUAAUCCAAAUGAUAGCCAGAUACAGUGUAGAUACAUAGCUCAGACUCUAAAAGUGAUGAUGAUAUUGUUAUGACACUAUUGUUUGUAAUCACUGUCAUAAAUUUAAAUAAAUUACUGAAGUUAUUUUGUGUUGCUAGUCAUUAUAUUGAGUGUUUUAUUGUGUAUGUCAGUACAGUACUCUACUCUCCUGUGGUAAAAUGAAGGCUUUUCAUAAAAUCAUACAUAUAAAACACAUCAACUUUUUAAUUAGUGGUCAGUGUAAUGCAUAAGGUAAUUGUAAUAUGCUUUGGCGACAUGAUAUAUAUUCUUAGGAAUUAUGGCUACUGUUUUUAUAAUGCACAUAAUAAAUAUGUUUAGAUGUGUAGUAUUCUCCUGGUUGAUACCAAGUACUGUAUAAGAAGAAAUGAAGAGGGAAAAGGAUUAGGAUUUGUACCAGAGAACUAUGUAAAUGAAGUUGUUGUACCACUGUAUAGAGAAAAUGGAAUGCAGCAUAAAGCUAAACACUAGGUACAUUUGAUAACAGAUGAGUGUAAGGUGUAAUGUAGUUUACUUUAUAACAAUUUGAUCUCCCAUCUUAAGUGGCCAGGUGCUCAGGUCACAGGUCAGUGUAAUACAACUCCCAUGGUGUUUGAGUUUAAGUUGUGGUUAUCAUAUUUUGUGUCUCAGCAUUACUGGUGUAAGCUUUUGACUGGUUGAACCUACAACUAAGUCAGAUAGUGAUGCGUAUUGAAAUGAAUAGAACUGGUCACUUUGUCAUGCCAAGGAUUCGAAUUGAACUAAGUAACCCUUUCCUUCAAGGGAGGGGGGUUGCCACUCACUCAGUGUAAGAAAUAGGGAAGAUAAUUUUAAAUAAAAAAGAUAAGAUACACAGUAGGACGGUUAGGCUAGUUUAGCAUAGGUUAGGCUAGGAUAGGGUUAUGAAAAGAGAGAAUUAAGAAAAUAAUAGGAGAUAUUGUGGAAGAGCACUGCAUCCCAAGCUUCCCAAGUUUAUUUUUUAUUUUAUGGGAAGAGUCUUUCUUUAAGACUGUUAUACACUUCCUACGUAGCCAAAUAUUAUGAAACUUUCUACAUAACCUGUUGUUAUUCACUUACUGUUUACCUCAUCCCCAAAUCCAUUAUUAAUUAUUAUACAGUACAAACUGUGAGUUUGAGCAACUAUGUUCUGUAGAUAUAAAGCCAUAUUAGUGAUAUAGUGUAUUGAAAUGAUAUGUGCCUUUUUUAUUCUUUAUCAUUAUGAUUUACAAAAUUGGGGAAGCUUACAGUAGCCACUCUUGCACAUCUGUCUUGUUUGUCCCAUCUCUUGAUAAACGAAAGAUUUCAAUUAAAACUUUUUACUUGAAUAUGUAUCAUAAUACUGGAUUUUGAUACAGUAUGUACUGUACUAAAUCCAAAAUUAUGAGUCACACAAGGAUAUGCUUCAAGUUUUAACCAGUCAAGUAUGAGUUAGGUUCAUGUACAGUAUGACUUGUAUACUGUAUGUUGAUUUUUCUAUGGUGGCAUUGGAUAUAUGUCAGAAGCUUUUUGUUCUGUAAGUUCAUAAAAGAAUAGUUUUGUUUCCUUAAUUUUUAUACAAAAUAGCAUCAAACCUUCUUUUUGUUUUGUAUAUUUUUCAGGGACUGGUUGUGUGCAUUCUGAAAAAUUUCUUGUGUUUUAGUUUUUGACUUGAUAUGAUCUACAAGAAAAAAUUACCAAAGAAGAGGGUCAUGAACCCCUUGAAUAAUACAAAGUUCAAAAUUUGAAUGUAUAGUAUUUAUCAUCAUCAUCAUCAUCAUCAUAAUAUUUUGCCAUUUACUAUCCUCAUAUGGGUUAGCUACAGUAUGAUUACCCGAUGGCAGCUCUCCCUGCUGCAUGGUCUCUUGUGGAUUCUCUUGUCAAAGUUAAUUUUGGUUUAAAAUAACUGAUGACUCCCUCAGCAUGGACUUCAUAUGGUCACUUACAUAACAGUUGAUAACAGUAAUUCCAUAAGGAAGAAAUUUAUUUUAAGUACUCGAUAAUACUGUACCAUAAGCAUAUAACUUGACUGAUGUACAGACAUUGUACAUGUAUCAGAAGAUUGUGAAUAUGUGAUUGCAGUAUUUCAAUGAUUUAUAGCUACUCUUUGAUGCUUGAACCAUAAUAUAUUUUGUAAAUACACUUUGUUGCUUUAUCUGAAAGUUUCCUUUGUAUGGUAACUAUAGUCAACAACAGUCCUCAAAAUUUGUAAAGAACUCUUCAUUCUGGGUAAAUUAUUUCACAAGCAGUCUGCCACAUUUAACAAGAGUUGGGAAUUUCUGAUAUGGAGAAGAGGAAUGUACAGGUGAGGGUACACAAUAGAACCUUAAAUAAUGGGUAGUAGCAAUUUUUUUUAGGAUAUUGAAAUUGUGGAUGUGUGAAAAACUACUAAGUGGACUUAAUUUAGUCAUUCUAGAAGACUUUUUAAUCUUAGAUUAGCUCCAUCCUGUCUAAGUGUAUAUGCUGUAGAGUGCCAAACUGUAACUGUAAUAAGGUGAAUAUUAUGAUGCUGCAGAUCUAAGAGAAUGAAUACAUGGCCACUAAUUUUUCAAGUACAGUACUGUAUUUUUGUAUGUGUUUGUCAGUAACAAGAGUGAAAUGAAUUUUGAUGGUUUUCUUUUCAUAGUAUAUUUUAAUUUUAUAAUAUAGCUAUUUUGUAAAAAUUGAAACAAAUUAUUUUGUAUUUUGCUUAUUAGACUUUAGACAUAUGCUUAGUUUAUAAGGAUUUUUUUAUUAGUUAAGAUAACAUUCUCAUAUUUCUUUAAGUAUCUAACACAGUUGUAAUGGAUAUUUAUAGUGAAAAUACUACAGGUUGACCCUCUCUUGACUGGCAUUCCAUCAACCGACAACUCGCAAUUAAUGGCACUGUAAUAGAAAAAUCAUUACUGUACCUGGUAAAUCUUACAAUUCAUCCACCACGUAGUUGUCCAAUUGGCUGCAUGGCGUCAUGUGUACUUUAUGUUCACAGCCCAGAGUUUAUUUAAACAGCUUUUAUUGUCUUGGCUGUGGUCCUGCUGCUAGUGUUGUGUGAUUUUAGAUAUUAAAUUAUUAUUUUACCCCUAGUUCACAGACAUAAUGUCUUAUAAGUGACCAUCAAAUACUCCUGGCUCUUGUUUUCCCAAGAGGAAGUGACACACACCGCUGAAAAGGUUGCUGUGUUCUUGUUGGUAUGUGUGUGACAGAGGCUUAGAUUCAUAAAUUUCUUCCUCUAAUAUCAGCCCUGGUCCCAAGGUUGCUGGGUAAGAAAGGGUCAGCCUGUAUAUGAUUCUGAUAAGUGAAACUUGCAAAAAUAGUUUGUAGAAAAUGUCAUAUUUUCUUGAUAAGGAAAGAUAGUUUUGUUGUGGCUAUUUUGUGUAACAGUGAUAAUUUGCAUGUACAAUAUUUUUAAGUAGAAAGUAUUUAUUAGGGAACUUAUGUUAUAUACUAGAUAAUUAAUUCUCUUGUAGAUGAAAACCUUGUAAAUGAUAACAUACUUUAUAAUAUACUAUACCCUUUAUGUAUGUUGGAAUAACUUUAAAAGGAGUAUAUUUAGUUGUUUCUGAGUAGAUGCUAAAUGCUGUUUCUUAAAUCAUUGCAGCACUGAUUCUGUAACACUUGUACUGUACCACGAUACUGUACGUAUCUGUCCAAGUACUCUGGACAAAUUUACAAAUUUUUAUUUUUCUUGCAUAACUUCCAUGUCAAUUAUAUAUCAUUAUUUUAACCUUACUUGGAUUUUUUCAUUUUAUAAUACUGUAUCUAGGACUUAUUUUUCCUCCCCUAUCUUUUUUUUUUAAGUACAGUAUUCUUUGAUAGAUUAUAUAAAUACCUAGAGUAAGUCAUCAGGACAACAUGUAAAUACUCUACUGUAUUGAUGCAGGAUGCAAGGUCUCGAGUAAAUAAUUUUCGCAUAAAUUGGUUAUAAAAGCAUCUACGUAUAAUAUUUCAUGGUGUAGUUGAUGGAGGUACAUUGUUCAGUAUCUGCUCCUGUAUGAAUAGAGGAAUACUUGCUUCUUGUUUUCUCUUUUGAAUUAACGGAUAUUUUUAACAGAUGUCUUAUUGGAUAGUUUAAAGAUUGUAUUGUUCUAUCUUCAAAUGUUAGAUUGUUGAUGUUAUUCACUUGUAUAACUUAUUCCCCAACAUGGACUAGAUGAGUGUUUUUGUCUUGUAGGAAUCAACCCUGUGUAGUGGAAAUGGAUGAAAUGGCUAUUAGUAGCCUUCUAUAUAAAGUAUUGUAUUCCAUUUUGUUCUUAUCUUCUAAUAUAAGGUAUGUUAGGCUCUUUGAGUAGAAUGACCAUAAUACACAAAAACUUUGUUUGUAAUUGCAUUUACCAUUUAUGUUUUGACGACAGUGAUAGAGACCACUUUAAGUAGCUUAUCUUUUCAUUACAUAGCCAUCUAUGCAAAGAAAAGGUUUCCUAAGGAGUUUACAGUAUUGUUAUUCAAGGCAAAAAUAAUUGGAUCAUGAUGGUUGCCCAUGUAAAUCAUAUUUUUGUUCUUCAAAUGGAAAAUUCAACCUUGGUUUCUGUAUUGUUUUUUUUUUACUUACUUUCAAUCCUCAUUACUGACUCAUGAUGUAAGCAACAGUUCUCUUUAUCUUAAAUUUUUUUCAUAAUCAUAAAGCUCCUAUCGAAUCAAAAAGAACAAAAGUAAGAAUAAACUGCUUCUGUUGUCUUUACUGCUGUUGGCAGGACACAAUGGGUGGAUAUCAUGGAUCCAGUUGGGUUAUAUCCAUUUUAUAUUGAUUUUAAACAUCACUUUCAAAUGAUGAAAUUAAGUAGCUGGUACAGUAGUGUUAAUGAAACAGAUGAUUUAGCCAUGUUGGUUAUGUACUGACAGUCACACACACACACACACACACACACACACACACACACACACACAUAUAUUUAGUUAUCUUGUUUAGUAAUUGACAUUCUGAGUACUAGAAGUAGAGGAAUGUGGAAAUGUUUGCUGUUUAAUUUAUUUAAAAUUGGAGCCAAUGGAAAAGGAUGUUGAUUGUUUUCAGCACAUUUUUGAGAAGGCACCAAAUACAUAUUAAAUCUGUAUACCAAGAUAAGUAACAAUUUACUUUAGUAAAAACAGCUUAAAAGUGACUUAACUAAUGCUGUUACUAAUUGUUUUAAGUGAAAGGAUUAAGAGGGAAUUACAUUCAGUGUUAAUUACUAUUGAUUGUUACUGUACUAGAGUUUGAUAAUUACAGUAGUUCAUUCCUCAUCUGUAAAGUGUGUAAGUAUGGAAGUACCUGUACAGCCAUUUUCAUAAUGUGUACCCCAUGUCUUGCCGGUUAUUUAGUUCAUCUGUGUUUCCUCAUCUAAUACUCCAUGUAAAGCUUGUAGUGUAUUGAAAUUGCACUAGAAUUUAGACAUUAAAAAAGAUCACAGUAGAAAUAUAGGACAUGAUUAGUAUCUCGUAAAUACUAUAGAUUUUAUUGGCAUUAUUGAAGAUAUGUCAAGAAUAUAGAUGAAACAUUUUAAGAUGAUUCUGGAACUGCCUUAUGAAGAACCAAUAAUUGUAUUUUUAGAAAAGUGUUGAACAGAUAUUUAAGACAAUCGCUGUAAGAGUACACCUACUGAGGUGCACAUAAGCUACACCUUUGUACAGUAGUUCCUUAUAAAUGAUGAUCACUAACAGCAGUCCCUUGUCAAUUUAUUAGCUCUCUUUACAAGUUAAUAGUAAUAGUAUUUGCAACCUGUGCAAACUUUUGUCCAUCUUUCAUUAUACAGUACUGUACUCUUUUUGAUUUUGUGCUGUUGAUCUAAAUCAUACAAAUUUUGUUUAAAAUCUCUUUAUAUAUUAGACUAAGAACGUGAAGUAUUAUUAUUUGCAGGAUAUUACAAAUUUACAUUUUGUGAAUUAAAGUGUCUUACCUCAUCUCAGUGUUUAUAAAUGUGAAUGAUAGAAAAUAAGAUUUUCUUAAUUGAUGUUAGGAUAGGCAAUAGAUGAUACAUUAAAUCAGUAAGCUGGAUGUUUGUAUCCUUUAUACUGUAUGCAGAAUUGACAUUACGUUAAUAACUCGGUGGAAGGAGAUAAUUAUAUCUUGUCUCUUUUAGUUGAUGUGACCUCUGUAGUUUUAUGGCUUAUGUCAGGACCAAACAACUUAUGAAAGUGCACCAGAUCAAUCCUUCUCUGUUGGCCUAAGGAAACACCUAUCCCUUGUUGUCAGCCAUAUUGGAAUUUCCAGGACAGCUCCAGUUUAGUUGUAACCGACUCAUGACUGGGUUCUUUCUUCAUCUCUUCAUCUUUUCCUUAGGGAAAAUAUAACUUCUGCACCAUGUUAUUGUGCACUUGUGAGGUUUAUGGCUCAGCCAUACAAUUGAUGUUGCCUGGUCCAGAUUUGGUCAGAAAAUGGAUUUCCAGCAUCAAUCCAACACUUUGAUUUUAAUAUUUUAUGAUGAGUCAGAAAUGCACCAUCUGCACAUCAGACAGUUAUUUUUGUUUUCUCUGAUGUUUAUUUUAUUGUUUUAUUACAAGUCAUGUUAAAAGAAUGAAAUGGAGGAUAUUAAUCUGAAUAUCAUUAACUUGUUUACAGAUAUUGUUCCACUAGCAUAUUUGCAAAUACAAUACUGUAUACAUGAGUUCAAAGUGUUUUUACAUUUAUCUACCUCUGCUGAAGCAAGCAGCAGUAUUUUAUAUUUUUGUGACACUAUUGAAAAUACUGAGUUUAAGGAAUUGCCAGUGAUGGUUCAGGAGGGAGUGGGCAAUUUCCUUUAAGCAUUAUACUGUGUAGAUUCAGUAGUUUGAUGAUAGUGUAUUGGAUGUAGUGUUGAUAGUGUAGUGGAUGUAGUAUAAAAAGCACAGUUGAUGUAGAUUAGAUAGUGUAGUGGAUGUAUUUUGAUGAUAAUGUCGUGGGUUCAGUGUAGUGUUGUAGAUGCAGUGCAGAUGAUAGUACUAUAGUGGAUGUAGAUGUAGUAUAGAUGAUGGUAUAGUGAAUGUACAGUAGUUUAGAUGAUAGUGUAGCUAUGGACAUGACUAUGAGCUGCCCCACCAAAUCAAACUCGGGCAACGUUGGGUACCCCAUUUAGUCAGAAACCAAACCCAAGUUUUAAAUCGUAAAGAUCUUGCCAUCACAAAGCACUGUCUGGUGUAGGGUGGGUAGUGUAUAUUAAACAAGAGCUCCAUGACUCAGUUGAUAGCUCUGUUGACAUAGUCUUGAUCAUAUGUCAGGCAAGUUUGGCGUGCGCUGAGUUGGCCACAAGCCACAUCAAUGCCCUUGGCUAAGCUAAUGCUGCUUGUUUGGGGAUGCCACCCCACAAAGUAUGGGAAAUGAUGUAUGUAGUGUGUUAGUUUUCUUACAUGUUACUCCAAUACUUACUGUAUUCUCAAACUAAGCCUUCAAAUAUUAGUCCAGUGGAAUUGAAUAUUUAGCAAUGAUUUGCACUCAUUCUUGUUUGUUGAACAGUAAUUUACUUCUCUUCUUAAAGACAGUGUGGGUUUACCACAGACUAGUUCUUCCUAUUUACUUCAGGUGAUGAUUUAUCAUUGUGCAUAUUGCAAUUAGUCUUUAUAUUUUAAAAAGAUCUGCACUAAAUAAACUUUAUUCACAUCUUUAUCCAAUCGCUGUACAAUAAGUUUUCAUAAAUAAUAAUUGAGGACAGUAUACCAUAAGAUAUCUUUGUAUUUUAAUGUUGUGUGUUGAUACUUAAGCGAGUGCUGUACCAUGAUAUUUCCACCAGUAACGUGUUGGUGAAUAUUAAUCUGAUAUUUGAUGUUUACAAUCCAUUUAUGAUUCUCAAUAGUUGUGUGAUGACUGACUGUCAGUGCCGAGUUCAUAUUUGGUGACAAGUUUAGUUAUUGUUAUUAACUUGCCAAGUGAUUUCAGAGAUCUCAAGUGUGACCAGAUUACAAUUGUAAGAGUGUGUAAUGUAAUAUUUUAUACAUUGCACAAACUUGGCAUCUUUUGUAGAUUUAUUCUUUUUGAUGCAGUCAUUAUUAAUUUAGUAAUAAAAAUAUCAUUUUGAA